UCACGCACGGCAUGCUGGGAAAAUAAGUCAGGCGCCGCCAUCUUAUCGUACGGAAGCGGGAUGACGGUUACGCGGAGCAUGCCGGGAAAAGGGUUUGCUCAGCGCCAUCUUCCAGUACGGACUCACUCAACACGUACGCUAUGUUGAGACAGCAACGCGGGCGCCGCCAUCUUGUCGUACGGUAACCGGGGAACGAGACCGCGGGCAUGCCGGAAAUAAACCCUGGGCUGGGCGUCUCCGCCUCAUUCUCGGACAAGCGUGCCGCGGGGUAUGCUGGGAAAGACAAUACAGGGCGUCUCGUGACGUAUUUCCGCUGGAGUCGGAGCGCGGGAGGUUUGAGCGCGGGACCCGUAGCUGGUUUCCAUGGUGCCCGCGGCACAAAUAAGCUUGCGGUGGCAAAACCCCUAGUGGCUUUGUGGCGUAAUUCCAUGGGGCAAGUACCUACCACGAAGAUCCUUCAUUCCACACCAAGCACUCUUGCCAUGGCCUAAGAACUAGACGUGACAAUGGAAGAGGCGACCGCUUACCUGAGAGAUGGGGUCCUAUCCCAUCUGGAAAAGCUAGAAGCUCAUGCACGGAAACUAGCACUGAAGCAAGAAGAAACUCAACGGCAGCAGGAGAAUUUGGUCAGGCUGAGAGCAAGAAUCCAGGAGCUGAGACUCCAAAGAGAUGAGCUCCUGACCAAAGUGAACCUGCAGCAGGUUGGGCUCAUCAGGCAGGAAGGAGCCACCGGCAGUAAUGUGGAGCCCGUCCAAGCAGCGGAGACCGGAGGGCAAGCUCUUCUAAAAUGGAAAGUGGAAAAUGUCAAGGCCAUGCUGCAAGCCUUUCGUCUGACAGGGAUUAGUGGGAAAUUGACCAAACAAGGAGUCUGUUUCUGCAUCAGCACUGCUUAUGAAGGCACCUACCUGGACUCCUACUACCUGGACCUCCUCAUACAGCAACCAGUCCAGAUUCGUCACCACUCUGUCCCCAUCUUCAUCCCCUUGGAGCAAAUAGCCAAGAAGUACUUGCAGACCGACAUCAAAUGCUUCCUGGCUAUGUUGUCUGAUCACCUGAAUGCUUAUGCUGGAAGGAAAUACCAGGCAGAUCAGUUACAGGACCAUUAUUCAGCCUUUCUCGAAGGAACCUUGCAGAGAAACUCGUUGCAUAAUGUAUUGUUCUUUAAUUAUGAUGUGGAAACAGAAAGCAAGACCUUUCCAUUCAGAGCGAAGCUGGUUUAUGGGGAUCUCACCCGUAGUCUUCCAACUGAGGCCACUAUUACAUGUAAAGCAGGGGAUGUUUCUGACUCUCUGGUGGAGAAGACAGCAGCUCAUUCAAACUUGUUCCGCCACAUGGCUCUGCACAAAGCCUUCAACUCCUUCAGAAGAGCAGCAGAAAGUCUGGAUCAAACAGCAUAAGCAGGCGACGCCCUGUCCCCAGAUCAAAUGCACUUACUGCGCCUUCUGAUCGCUGCAAAGCUCCCUGGGACGUUGCUACUGUGUAAAUGCUUUUUAGACUGGACUGCAGCAGAGUUCAGGAAAAUGCCUGAGGAAUAGCUAAACCAGUUCAUAGUACUGAGAACACUGUCUUCUUGAGCGGCCUUUGGAUGCCUGGUCUCCGCAUAUCCUUCUAGAGCUGAGCUCCUCUCCUCUGGCAUGUUGCGAAAGGGUUGCUGACAGAUUAACAUAGUUGCUACCAUGGCUCCAUAAUACUUCACCAGACUGGACAGCAGAUGGACACCGGAAAUCCCUCUCCACUGGAAUGGGAAACCAAAAAGACUUUCAGAGUUGUCAGGGUGAACUGGUGGAGGCUAGAUUUGGGAAGAAAGAGCAGACGGGAAAAGCCAAAGUUCUGCAACAUUUCCUGGGCCUUUUGGAGAUGAGAAAACAAGUGGCUGGAGCCUGGAGAAGUGAUCUGAGGGCUGGGGCCCUCCUCCACCUCUUUACACCUGUGCGAAGUAUAUGUAACCCCAUUUUAGGUACUGCAGAGUUCAUAAGCACCUCACCACCCCACCCUUUGAGAGUGGCCAGGGCUGGGGGAGGGAGACCCAGCAAGACUAAGGCCUAGAUCAUUGAAGUCAAUGGGAGUUAGGAGACUAAAUACCUUAGGCCCAGAUCCUCCACGUGAUGUGCACAAAGUCAUAGGGGGAGUCUGAGACAGAACAGGGACUUGAACCCAGGUUUCCCAACUCCUAGGCAUGUGCUUUAAAAAGUAAACUGUCCUCCCCCCUCUGGUCUGGUGAUGUGUACACCCACUUUGCACAACUGUUAAGUGCCGGUACAAGGUAGCGUUGCAUGAGACCCACGCUUUCAUGGGGGCUGCAUCCGUCUUGACAUUCUUAAGCACAAAUUCAGACCUGGUGUAUAUGGUCAUCCCUCCCCCUGAGCUCAGCAAAGCUGCACCUACCUAUAGCAGGUGACGUGCCAAAUGGGUGUCAAUUUCACGUGUUUCCCACGCUCCCAAGAGCAGGCAAGCGGUACAAGCUACGCUCCUUUUCUGCUUCUAGGUAGAGUAUGACCAACUCCCACUUCAUUUACACCACCACUGAAUGUGGGACUGGGUGAUGUUCAUGACAGUGAAACCCAUCAGGGCUCUAGUCCAGUGGAUGAAGAAGAUCGCUGGGAGUCAAGCCCUUUUGGAUUUUAUUUCCAGCUAAGUAAGCCUGGGGCAAGUCACUUACACCUGGUCUACACUAGAAAAUUAGGUCCAGUUACCCACAUUGGAGUCACAUGUAAAAAAUCCACCCCCCUGAACAGUGUAGUGAAGCUGGACUAACAGUCCCCCCGUAGCCAAUGCUAGGUCAGCUGACUCAUUCUUCCAUCGAGCUAGCUACCUCUUCUCAGGGAGAUGGAUUACUUAUGCCGGCAGGAGAAAGUCCGCUGUGCUGCUGCAGUGUUUUACAUGUAGACAAGCCCUUACGCACUCUGGAAAACUCCCCUGGGCACCAACCCACAUCUUUAGGCCCCUGAAUACCUUUAAAAAUGGGGCCUCUUUCCCUUAGUUUCCACAUCUGGAAAGGGGUUAAUGAGACUCACCCCUGUGAGGUGCUUGCUGACCUCCAGCUGAAAAGGCAUUAUACACAUGCGAAGUACUUGUAUUACCCUUCACAGCUCAGAGAAUGUAUUUACACUACAGGAAAUUCACGCCGACACUUGUUUUCCCGUCCAUGCUGUGUUUGCGCAGAGCCUCUCAUGGGGUGAGGCCAUGAGACAUUUGAACAUCCAGCAGCCUAGGCCAGGGCAUGGAAGUGGUCAGGACAAACUGGACACGGAAUCACUGUCUUUUAAAUUCAACUUGUUCUAUUCAAGAAACUAGAGAAAUAAUUACACUGCGUUUGUUUUCAAACAGAAUAUUGGAUGAAGGCUUUAA